AUUCAAAGGCCUAGACUGCCUAGGUGUAGGAGUAGGAAUAAAAGCAGUAAUCUCACGUGGAACACCCACCGAGCCCACAUUUGAAUUAACCCUCCUCAAUCCAUUAUCAACCUCAUUCAGAGACACUCGUGAAUUGCCAUACCCACCAACACCAAGCUGUACUUCUUUGGCCUCAAUCUUUUUCACCAAACUCCUUACCAUACCAAGUUCACUCUCCAGCUUCUUCCUGAGCUCUCUCACCUCCUGCUUAGACUUCGACGCCAAAUUUAUCUUUACUUUAUUGUCCAAAUCUUGCUUUACCACCCCAUUCCCAGCAGUCGGGUCCCGGUCAAUUGGGGCCACAGCCGCUGUACCCUGCUGCCUAUUGAGGCUAGAAGAGUCAUCGGAGUUGGCAUCCAAACGCGAAAUGGGCUGUAUCUGGGCCGAAUUUGUGUCUUCUAA
rnacentral:misc_RNA from 1 species